rnacentral:rRNA from 1 species
GGCGGCAGGCCUAACACAUGCAAGUCGAGCGGAGCGGCGGACGGGUGAGUAAUGCCUAGGAAUCUGCCUGGUAGUGGGGGACAACGUUUCGAAAGGAACGCUAAUACCGCAUACUAUCAGAUGAGCCCAGGUCGGAUUAGCUAGUUGGUGAGGUAAUGGCUCACCAAGGCGACGAUCCGUAACUGGUCUGAGAGGAUGAUCAGUCACACUGGAACUGAGACACGGUCCAGACUCCUACGGGAGGCAGCAGUGGGGAAUAUUGGACAAUGGGCGAAAGCCUGAUCCAGCCAUGCCGCGUGUGUGAAGAAGGUCUUCGGAUUGUAAAGCACUUUAAGUUGGGAGGCGUUACCGACAGAAUAAGCACCGGCUAACUCUGUGCCAGCAGCCGCGGUAAUACAGAGGGUGCAAGCGUUAAUCGGAAUUACUGGGCGUAAAGCGCGCGUAGGUGGUUCGUUAAGUUGGAUGUGAAAGCCCCGGGCUCAACCUGGGAACUGCAUCCAAAACUGGCGAGCUAGAGUACGGUAGAGGGUGGUGGAAUUUCCUGUGUAGCGGUGAAAUGCGUAGAUAUAGGAAGGAACACCAGUGGCG